UCCUACGGAUAAGCAAAGAAAGUGGUUUCCUGCAAUGGAAUCCACUCAUGAUGAAGAUACUGUGAA
rnacentral:pre_miRNA from 2 species